AGAGUUUGAUCAUGGCUCAGGAUGAACGCUAGCUACAGGCUUAACACAUGCAAGUCGGGGGGCAUCAGUUUGGUUUGCUUGCAAACCAAAGCUGGCGACCGGCGCACGGGUGAGUAACACGUAUCCAACCUGCCUCAUACUCGGGGAUAGCCUUUCGAAAGAAAGAUUAAUAUCCGAUAGCAUAUAUUUCCCGCAUGGGUUUUAUAUUAAAGAAAUUCGGUAUGAGAUGGGGAUGCGUUCCAUUAGUUUGUUGGCGGGGUUAACGGCCGACCAAGACUACGAUGGAUAGGGGUUCUGAGAGGAAGGUCCCCCACAUUGGAACUGAGACACGGUCCAAACUCCUACGGAGGCA
rnacentral:rRNA from 1 species